UGACUCAACGCGGAAAAGCUUAUCUGGUCCGGACGCAGUGAGGAUUGACAGACAGUUUCAGGAGUGGUUCUUGGUAAACAAUUGAGAGAGUUGAAGUUCUUUCAUGAUCUUGUGAGAGGUGGUGCAUGGCCGUUCUUAGUUCGUGUAGUGAUAUGUCUGCCUAAUCGCGUCACGAUAACCUAUUGGUCGACAACCCAAUUAUCACAACUGCAGCAUAACUCCCCUUGGGUGGGCGAGGCUCUGUGUAGGAUAGACCUCUGAACAGUACGCAACGAACGCGAUCGUAAUCCCUUGUUGAGUGGCCAUCCUGUAAGCUGCUGGAUUAGGAACCCAGUGGUAUUAUCUCAGCCACAGAUUUUCUGGUUGUAAUGGGCCAGUUUUGAAACUCGGGGAACAUCUGUGACUUUCUUUCUUAACGCAGAGGAAGGUUAUGGCAAUAACAGG
rnacentral:rRNA from 1 species